rnacentral:rRNA from 1 species
UACGUAGGGGGCAAGCGUUGUCCGGAUUUAUUGGGCGUAAAGAGCGUGUAGGCGGUCUGGUAGGUCCGUUGUGAAAACUCGAGGCUCAACCUCGAGACGCCGAUGGAAACCAUCAGACUAGAGUCCGGAAGAGGAGAGUGGAAUUCCUGGUGUAGCGGUGAAAUGCGCAGAUAUCAGGAAGAACACCCGUGGCUAAGGCGGCUCUCUGGUACGGUACUGACGCUGAGACGCGAAAGCGUGGGGAGCGAACAGG